UUAUAUUCUCCUAACACAGAGACAAAUUGACUCCUCGACAUUACCUGACCUUGUUGUCUCUUGUUUUGCAGGCAGAUCUGAACAAAAUUAUGAUGGAAAAGAGUUCAUAGUAAACAUGAUUCAACAACUAUCAAAACAAUUAAUAGCUGGUGUAAAAUCUUAAUGCUUACUCUGGCGUUCCAUGUACCCAACUUAGGGAAUGUGGAAAGUUUAAGGCAGAUCUGAACAUAAUUAUGCUGGAAAUAGUUCAUAGUAAACAUCAUUCAACAACAAAAUCAUCACUAGCUGGUAUGAGAAUCUGAAGCUUAUUCUGUUGUUCCACAUACCCAACUUAGUCCCAACCAGGACAACAGGAACUCCAGGAGCAUAAUGAUGAAGCUCAGGUAUCCACUGAAACCACCAGCAGAAGAAACAUAAGAUCAACAUGCUGAAUACUACUGCAAAGGAUCAAACAGCACAACAAAGCCAUGGCCAAUCUUUUCACCUUCUUCAGAACAUUCUCAUAGCUCGCCCGGCUCACCAACGAGAAAGCCAGCACAAAUACAUCUGCUCCUCGAUAGCUUAAUGGCCUCAAUCUGUUGUAAUCCUCCUGCCCUGUUAAGAUUCAAGGCCCAUGAUGUGAAAUCCCAGCCUCCAAUGAGAUCAGCAAUGGGCAGCCUUACCAGCAGUAUCCCAGAGGCCCAGAUUCACAGUGAUCCCUUCUGCAACAACGUUGGCGCUGAAGUUAUCGAACACAGUGGGUAUGUAAUCCUGAACAGAGUAGUUUCCAACGAGCUAAAUCAGUGAGAAGAAUCAAAAGAAUGGUGCCGAAACCCAGUCAGAGGUUGAAGUUGAAAGAAGGGAACGAAGAUAACAGUCCCACGGGCUUACAGUUGGGAACUUGUUGCUGGUGUAGCAGAUGAGCAUGCAGGUCUUCCCAACUGCUCCAUCCCCAACAGUGACACACUUGAUGAAUCUUGAGACUGUUGAUGCCAUGUUCUUGCCCAAAAACACCAAGGAAGAGAAAGCAAGUAAGAGAGAGAGAGAGAGAGAGAGAAGAAAA